CGAAAUGCGAUAAGUAGUGUGAAUUGCAGAAUUCAGUGAAUCAUCGAAUCUUUGAACGCACAUUGCGCCCCUUGGUAUUCCAUGGGACAUGCCUGUUCGAGCGUCAUUUGUACCUUCAAGCUUUGCUUGGUGUUGGGUGUUUGUCUCGCCUCUGCGUGUAGACUCGCCUCAAAACAAUUGGCAGCCGGCGUAUUGAUUUCGGAGCGCAGUACAUCUCGCGCUUUGCACUCAUAACGACGACGUCCAAAAGUACAUUUUUACACUCUUGACCUCGGAUCAGGUAGGGAUACCCGCUGAACUUAAGC
rnacentral:misc_RNA from 1 species